rnacentral:rRNA from 1 species
UACGAAGGGGGCUAGCGUUGCUCGGAAUCACUGGGCGUAAAGCGCACGUAGGCGGAUUGCUAAGUCAGGGGUGAAAUCCUGGAGCUCAACUCCAGAACUGCCCUUGAUACUGGCGGUCUCGAGUCCGGGAGAGGUGAGUGGAACUGCGAGUGUAGAGGUGAAAUUCGUAGAUAUUCGCAAGAACACCAGUGGCGAAGGCGGCUCACUGGCCCGAUACUGACGCUGAGGCACGGAAAGCGUGGGGAGCAAACACGG